AGCUCCAAUAGCGUAUAUUAAAGUUGUUGCAGUUAAAACGCUCGUAGUCUGAGUAGUGGGGGUGGUGUAAGGGUGAUAGUGAUAUUGCUCUUACUCCGCACCCAGUUGGUGGUCGCGAGGCCACGGUUACUUUGAGGAAAUUAGGGUGUUCAAAGCGGGCGAUUGCUUGAAUACUGCAGCAUGGAAUAACGGAAUAGGGCUUGCCGUCUUAUUUUGUUGGUUUGGAGGGGCGAGUAAUGAUUAAUAGGGGCGGUUGGGGGCAUUGGUAUUUGGUAGCUAGAGGUGAAAUUCUUGGAUUUACCAAAGACUAACUAGUGCGAAAGCAUUUGCCAAGGAUGUUUUCA
rnacentral:rRNA from 1 species